AAGUCGUAACAAGGUCUCCGUUGGUGAACCAGCGGAGGGAUCAUUGCUGGAAUACACGCCCUCACGGGUGCUACCCAGAAACCCUUUGUGAAUUAUACUAUAACCUGUUGCCUCGGCAGUGACUGGCUUUCUCUGAAAAGUCCCUUUUUUGUUUUUUCGAAAAAGGAGCAGGUCGGCCGGUGGCCCUAUAAACUCUUUGUUUUUACUAUGUAUCUUCUGAGUAAACAACUAUAAAUGAAUCAAAACUUUUAACAACGGAUCUCUUGGUUCUG
rnacentral:misc_RNA from 1 species